AUGACUCUCCUAAGUUGGAACUGCCGGGGGGCGGGGAACUCCCGGACAGUUCGUGAUUUGGCGACUAUGGUUCAGUCGCAUUCCCCCACGCUGGUUUUUUUGUGUGAGACAAGGCAAUCAGCAGUAAGAAUGAAGAGACAUCGAGCUAGAUUUGGUUUGCAAGGUUACGAAGGAGUGGACAGUAUUGGGAAUAGCGGAGGGCUUGCCCUCUUCUGGCAUGAAUCAUUGUUGGUUAAUGUGCAGUUUUCAAAUGAGCGCUGCAUUGAUGCGCACGUGCAAUCUGGACCAGAUGAACCUCCUUGGAGACUUACGUGUGUUUAUGGUGAACCAAGAGUUGAGGACCGACACUUGAUGUGGGAAUUGAUGCAAAAUUUAUGCCCCAAGUCCGAUUUGCCGUGGCUGGUGAUACGUCUCCAACGUAUAUAUAAUUUUUGA
rnacentral:rRNA from 1 species